UAAUGAAGAUGGUAAUCAAGAUAUUUUCAGACCAAAACUUAUAAAAAAAAUUUUUUUCUUCCUGUAGGCACGCAUUACUAGAAGUAACACUGAAGAUUUUUUUUUUUUUCCGGUGAUGGGAAAAUGAAAUCAGAUGGAACCCAGGAGAUGCGGGAAAGAAUAAAGAGCAACUAAAAAAGACAGAGGAAUACACGCUUUUUUCUAAAGACAGAAGAUUAUCUAUUAAAGCUGAGACCAUUGUGUUUCUACCUUGAGGCAUGAAACAACAGAAUAAUAUAGACCAAGACCUGGAAUUUUCAGUGACUUAUUCGAGGUUAUUCAGCCAAGUCCAUGACCAUCGUCAAGGAGGAAGAUGUCUUCAAGAGAACAAAAACAAGCCACCACACUAAAGUACAAGCAAGAGAUGAGGAAAGACAUAGAAGAGUGCUGGUGGUAAUAUUUUAAGUAUUUACAGUU